CCUACGGGAGGCAGCAGUAGGGAAUAUUGCUCAAUGGGGGAAACCCUGAAGCAGCAACGCCGCGUGGAGGAUGAAGGUUUUCGGAUUGUAAACUCCUUUUGUUAGAGAAGAUAAUGACGGUAUCUAACGAAUAAGCACCGGCUAACUCCGUGCCAGCAGCCGUGGUAAUACGGAGGGUGCAAGCGUUACUCGGAAUCACUGGGCGUAAAGAGGGCGUAGGCGGGAUAGCAAGUCAGAUGGGAAAUUCUAUGGCUUAACCAUAGAACAGCAUUUGAAACUGGUGUUCUUGAGUAAGGGAGAGGUAGGUGGAAUUCGUGGUGUAGGGGUGAAAUGCGUAGAGAUCAAGAGGAAUACUCAUUGCGAAGGCGACCUGCUAGAACAUAACUGACGCUGAUGCGCGAAAGCGUGGGGAGCAAACAGGAUUAGAUACCCUAGUAGUC
rnacentral:rRNA from 1 species